GGAGGCAACAUUCUAGAAUCUUCACCCUCAGGUUGCCAAGAGCUCGUGUCUUGGCCAAAGCCUCCUGUGUCUGUUGCAGACAUGUCUGUCAAGAGAGCGGUGACCUGCUUACCUGGCUUCACCUGGUUCUAUCCUGGUUUGGCACUGAACAUCCACAUCCUGGGAACCCUGGACAAAAAUCAAGACGGCUGGUUGUCCUAGAAGAGGCCCUUCCUUCCCCACAAUGGCUAACCCCAGACUGGAGAGGUCAGCUGUUUCAGGGUCACCAGGAACAGAGCGCAGAGGGACAACACAGCUCGGGCGCUUCCAGCUGGCUCCCAUCAAGAAGUUAGAAGGGAGCCUGAAAAUACAUUUCCUGUUAUCAUC